AGAGAGGGACAUGGAAUUCCGGGUGUAGUGGUGAAAUGCGUAGAGAUCCGGAGGAACACCAGAGGCGAAGGCGGUGUCCUGGCUCUGACCUGACGCUCAGACACGAAAGCAUGGGUAGCGAACGGGAUUAGAAACCCCGGUAGUCCAUGCUGUAAACGAUGCAGACUAGGCGUCGGCGGUCUCAACCCCGUCGGUGCCGCAGCUAACGCAUUAAGUCUGCCGCCUGGGGACUACGGCCGCAAGGCUAAAACUCAAAGGAAUUGACGGGGGCCCGCACAAGCAGCGGAGCGUGUGGUUUAAUUCGAGGCUACACGAAGAACCUUACCUGGGCUUGACAUAGAGGUGGUAGGGAAGUGAAAGCGGACCGACCUUCGGGAGCCUCUACAGGUGCUGCAUGGCUGUCGUCAGCUCGUGCCGUGAGGUGUUAGGUUAAGUCCUGUAACGAGCGCAACCCUCGGGCCUAGUUACACGUUGUCUAGGCCGACCGCCCGCGAUAAGCCGGGAGGAAGGUGGGGAUGACGUCAAGUCAGCAUGGCCUUUAUGUCCAGGGCUACACACACGCUACAAUGGCCGACACAAUGGGUCGCCAACCCGCGAGGGGGAGCCAAUCCAGAGAAAGUCGGUCUCAGUUCGGAUUGUGGGCUGCAACUCGCCCACAUGAAGUCGGAGUUGCUAGUAACCGCCGGUCAGCUAUACGGCGGUGAAUACGUUCCCGGGCCUUGUACACACCGCCCGUCACGUCAUGGGAGCUGGUCACGCCUGAAGAUGGUGGGCUAACCUAACGGAGGCAGCCAUUUAGGGUAGGGCCGGUGACUGGGACGAAGUCGUAACAAGGUAGCUGUAGCGGAAGCUGCGGCUGGAUCACCU
rnacentral:rRNA from 1 species